CCUACGGGCGGCAGCAGUGAGGAAUAUUGGUCAAUGGACGAGAGUCUGAACCAGCCAAGUAGCGUGAAGGAUGACUGCCCUAUGGGUUGUAAACUUCUUUUAUAUGGGAAUAAAAUGUUCCACGUGUGGGAUUUUGUAUGUACCAUAUGAAUAAGGAUCGGCUAACUCCGUGCCAGCAGCCGCGGUAAUACGGAGGAUCCUAGCGUUAUCCGGAUUUAUUGGGUUUAAAGGGAGCGUAGGUGGAUUGUUAAGUCAGUUGUGAAAGUUUGCGGCUCAACCGUAAAAUUGCAGUUGAAACUGGCAGUCUUGAGUACAGUAGAGGUGGGCGGAAUUCGUGGUGUAGCGGUGAAAUGCUUAGAUAUCACGAAGAACUCCGAUUGCGAAGGCAGUUCACUGGACUGCAACUGACACUGAGGCUCGAAAGUGUGGGUAUCAAACAGGAUUAGAUACCCCUGUAGUC
rnacentral:rRNA from 1 species